rnacentral:tRNA from 1 species
CAGGGAGACAACAAAAUGUUUAAUAUUAUUAUUUUGUCACCUUAGGUCGAUCGGUAUCUCACGUUCUUAAUUUAUUAAGAAUUUCAUUUCCUAAGUUUUUCUAGGUCACACCCAUUAUUUUUCCUGGGCCAUUAGCUCAGGUGGUUAGAGCGCACCCCUGAUAAGGGUGAGGUCCCUGGUUCAAGUCCAGGAUGGCCCAUAUCUCUAUGUUGGGGGUAUAGCUCAGUUGGUAGAGCGCCUGCUUUGCAAGCAGGAUGUCAGCGGUUCGAGUCCGCUUACCUCCACUGAUUACCACCUCUUCCAUAAUUUAUAGAAAGGAAAUGUUUUGAGUUGUGAUCAGAUUCUGAACGAAUCUAGCUUCCUAAUGAAAUCAUUAAGAUGCUGGACUCAUUGAAUUAAUUUCAUUGUUUUCAGAGAACCUUGACAACUGCAUAGAUUAUUUUUAAAGACAAUAAGCAUCUUUAAUGAUGCAGAUUUAUUAUUUGUGCGAAUGCAUUAAUAACAAUUCUAUUAAGCUGAUGCUUCAAUUUUGAAGUUAUU